GAAAGAAAGCACUUUGUAGGAACAGAUGAGGAAGACGUGGGGGAUGAUGUACAGAAGUUACAAGUAAGCGGAGCUGAUAUUAAACAGGAUUUUGCUACACAGAGAAAAAGUAUAUGAAUGCUUUUAUCCACACCACUAAGAAGAGAAUUGAACAUGUUUUGAAAACACAAGAGGAAAGGCAGAAACUUCAUUACAAAUAUUCUAAGCAGUUUCUGACUUUGUUUCAAGAUUGGAACACGAACAGUGAAGGCUGAGGAACCAGAGGAACAAAAACUAGCUACAAUGUUUCGAGAGCAACAAAAGAGUUGUCUAUAAGCUAGAAUGGUUCAGAGACAGAGACACUGAAACAAAUUAAACUGAAAUCAGCAAUUCCUACGGAGUUUGGAGGACCUAGAAGAGAAUCAGAGUUCAUCUUACUGAUGAACAAAGUGACCUUAGAAAAGAAAUGGCCAGGUUGCAAACAAAACUUAUGAAGGAAACUCUGCAGCAAGACUUGGCACUUAUUCAUUUGUCUCUUCUACCUGU
rnacentral:lncRNA from 1 species